GGCUCAAAGCUCUCCCAGCCAUCAACUAAAAUUGGAACGAUACAGAGAAGAUUAACAUGGCCCCUAAUGGUAAAUAUGAGCACAUUAAUAUCUAU
ensembl:snRNA U6 U6 spliceosomal RNA